UUCGCAAUGCCCGAAAGGGUGACGAAGCGACGCCGCGUGUGGGAAGAAGGCCUUCGGGUUGUAAACCACUGUCGGGAGUUAAGAAAUACAAGGAUAUUAAUAGUGUCUUUGUUUGACUAAGGCUCCGGAGGAAGCCACGGCUAACUCUGUGCCAGCAGCCGCGGUAAUACAGAGGCGGCAAGCGUUGUUCGGAAUUAUUGGGCGUAAAGAGCACGUAGGCGGCUAUGUAAGUCGGUUGUGAAAGCCUUCCGCUCAACGGAAGAACAGCAUCCGAUACUACAUGGCUUGAGUGCGGGAGGGGAGAGUGGAACUUCUGGUGGAGCAGUGAAAUGCGUAGAUAUCAGAAGGAACGCCGGCGGCGAAAGCGGCUCUCUGGCCCAUAACUGACGCUGAGUGUGCGAAAGCUAGGGGAGCAAACGGGAUUAGAUACCCCGGUAGUCCUAGCCGUAAACGAUGGGCACUAAGUAGAGGGGUUUU
rnacentral:rRNA from 1 species